GUAUCGCAGAACCAGCAGAUGCAUUCAAAACCAGCGUGAAUCUUGUCGCUCGUGUGGCCAACAGCAGAAUUUUACGUCUUUUUCAUGGCCGAUUGAAGGAUUUGUUGAGAAGUACAAGAGAAUGAAAGACAGGGCAGCUCUUUUGAAAGGCAGUUUACAUAAGAAAGUGAUGACCUUUGAAAGAUGGUGGUGUGUUUUAACAGAUGAACUUGAUCUCUGCAUUCAGGGAUCUGUGGAGAACAAGUCCUUUGAAGCUGAAAACUCACCUUAGUACAUGUAGGCCGCCCACUGUGGUCGAGCGGCUCUAGGCGCUUCAGUCCGGAACCACGCAGCUGCUAUGGUCGCAGGUUUCAAUCCUGCCUCAGGCAUGGAUGUGUGUGAUGUCCUUAGGUUAGUUAGGUUUAAGUAGUUCUAAGUCUAGGGGUCUGAUGACCUCAGAUGUCAAGUCCCAUAAUGCUUAGAGCCAUUUGAACCAUUUUUGAAC